CACUCCUGCGGGAGGCAGCAGUGGGGAAUAUUGCACAAUGGGCGCAAGCCUGAUGCAGCCAUGCCGCGUGUAUGAAGAAGGCCUUCGGGUUGUAAAGUACUUUCAGCGGGGAGGAAGGUGUUGAGGUUAAUAACCUCAGCAAUUGACGUUACCCGCAGAAGAAGCACCGGCUAACUCCGUGCCAGCAGCCGCGGUAAUACGGAGGGUGCAAGCGUUAAUCGGAAUUACUGGGCGUAAAGCGCACGCAGGCGGUCUGUCAAGUCGGAUGUGAAAUCCCCGGGCUCAACCUGGGAACUGCAUUCGAAACUGGCAGGCUAGAGUCUUGUAGAGGGGGGUAGAAUUCCAGGUGUAGCGGUGAAAUGCGUAGAGAUCUGGAGGAAUACCGGUGGCGAAGGCGGCCCCCUGGACAAAGACUGACGCUCAGGUGCGAAAGCGUGGGGAGCAAACAGGAGUAGAAACCCCAGUAGUCCCAUGA
rnacentral:rRNA from 1 species